AACGAACGCUGGCGGCAUGCCUAACACAUGCAAGUCGAACGAACCCUUCGGGGUUAGUGGCGCACGGGUGCGUAACGCGUGGGAAUCUGCCCUUUGCUUCGGAAUAACUCAGGGAAACUUGUGCUAAUACCGGAUGAUGUCUUCGGACCAAAGAUUUAUCGGCAAGGGAUGAGCCCGCGUAGGAUUAGGUAGUUGGUGGGGUAAAGGCCUACCAAGCCGACGAUCCUUAGCUGGUCUGAGAGGAUGAUCAGCCACACUGGGACUGAGACACGGCCCAGACUCCUACGGGAGGGAGCAGUGGGGAAUAUUGGACAAUGGGCGCAAGCCUGAUCCAGCAAUGCCGCGUGAGUGAUGAAGGCCGUCGGGUCGUAAAGCUCUUUUACCAGGGAUGAUAAUGACAGUACCUGGAGAAUAAGCUCCGGCUAACUCCGUG
rnacentral:rRNA from 1 species